rnacentral:rRNA from 1 species
AGCGAACNUGGGCGGCAGGCUUAACACAUGCAAGUCGAGCGGGCCCUUCGGGGUCAGCGGCGGACGGGUGAGUAACGCGUGGGAACGUGCCUUCCGGUUCGGAAUAACCCUGGGAAACUAGGGCUAAUACCGGAUACGCCCUUAUGGGGAAAGGUUUACUGCCGGAAGAUCGGCCCGCGUCUGAUUAGCUAGUUGGUGGGGUAACGGCCUACCAAGGCGACGAUCAGUAGCUGGUCUGAGAGGAUGAUCAGCCACACUGGGACUGAGACACGGCCCAGACUCCUACGGGAGGCAGCAGUGGGGAAUAUUGGACAAUGGGCGCAAGCCUGAUCCAGCCAUGCCGCGUGAGUGAUGAAGGCCUUAGGGUUGUAAAGCUCUUUUAUCCGGGACGAUAAUGACGGUACCGGAGGAAUAAGCCCCGGCUAACUUCGUGCCAGCAGCCGCGGUAAUACGAAGGGGGCUAGCGUUGCUCGGAAUCACUGGGCGUAAAGGGCGCGUAGGCGGCGUUUUAAGUCGGGGGUGAAAGCCUGUGGGUCAAC